CCCCUAGACGUUCUGGGCUGCACGCGUGCUACAAUAAUACGCACAGCGAGUAUCACCGAGCUCGAAAGGGCAAGGUAAACAAUAGAAAAGGUACUGUAAUGGUUAUAGAUCCUUGUAAUUAUUGAUCUUCAACGAGGAAUUCCUAGUAAGUAUGUGUCAUCAUCACGCACUGAUUACGUCCCUGCCCUUUGUACACACCGCCCGUCGCUCCUACCGAUUGGGUGAGCCGAUGAAACUCUCGGAUGUAGGCUAUUCAUAGCCCGCAGAAGAGAUUUGAAUCGUAGCGCUUAGAGGAAGGAGAAGUCGUAACA
rnacentral:rRNA from 1 species